rnacentral:rRNA from 1 species
ACAUGCAAGUCGAGCGAACGGACGAGAAGCUUGCUUCUCUGAUGUUAGCGGCGGACGGGUGAGUAACACGUGGAUAACCUACCUAUAAGACUGGGAUAACUUCGGGAAACCGGAGCUAAUACCGGAUAAUAUUUUGAACCGCAUGGUUCAAAAGUGAAAGACGGUCUUGCUGUCACUUAUAGAUGGAUCCGCGCUGCAUUAGCUAGUUGGUAAGGUAACGGCUUACCAAGGCAACGAUGCAUAGCCGACCUGAGAGGGUGAUCGGCCACACUGGAACUGAGACACGGUCCAGACUCCUACGGGAGGCAGCAGUAGGGAAUCUUCCGCAAUGGGCGAAAGCCUGACGGAGCAACGCCGCGUGAGUGAUGAAGGUCUUCGGAUCGUAAAACUCUGUUAUUAGGGAAGAACAUAUGUGUAAGUAACUGUGCACAUCUUGACGGUACCUAAUCAGAAAGCCACGGCUAACUACGUGCCAGCAGCCGCGGUAAUACGUAGGUGGCAAGCGUUAUCCGGAAUUAUUGGGCGUAAAGCGCGCGUAGGCGGUUUUUUAAGUCUGAUGUGAAAGCCCACGGCUCAACCGUGGAGGGUCAUUGGAAACUGGAAAACUUGAGUGCAGAAGAGGAAAGUGGAAUUCCAUGUGUAGCGGUGAAAUGCGCAGAGAUAUGGAGGAACACCAGUGGCGAAGGCGACUUUCUGGUCUGUAACUGACGCUGAUGUGCGAAAGCGUGGGGAUCAAACAGGAUUAGAUACCCUGGUAGUCCACGCCGUAAACGAUGAGUGCUAAGUGUUAGGGGGUUUCCGCCCCUUAGUGCUGCAGCUAACGCAUUAAGCACUCCGCCUGGGGAGUACGACCGCAAGGUUGAAACUCAAAGGAAUUGACGGGGACCCGCACAAGCGGUGGAGCAUGUGGUUUAAUUCGAAGCAACGCGAAGAACCUUACCAAAUCUUGACAUCCUUUGACAACUCUAGAGAUAGAGCCUUCCCCUUCGGGGGACAAAGUGACAGGUGGUGCAUGGUUGUCGUCAGCUCGUGUCGUGAGAUGUUGGGUUAAGUCCCGCAACGAGCGCAACCCUUAAGCUUAGUUGCCAUCAUUAAGUUGGGCACUCUAAGUUGACUGCCGGUGACAAACCGGAGGAAGGUGGGGAUGACGUCAAAUCAUCAUGCCCCUUAUGAUUUGGGCUACACACGUGCUACAAUGGACAAUACAAAGGGCAGCGAAACCGCGAGGUCAAGCAAAUCCCAUAAAGUUGUUCUCAGUUCGGAUUGUAGUCUGCAACUCGACUACAUGAAGCUGGAAUCGCUAGUAAUCGUAGAUCAGCAUGCUACGGUGAAUACGUUCCCGGGUCUUGUACACACCGCCCGUCACACCACGAGAGUUUGUAACACCCGAAGCCGGUGGAGUAACCUUUUAGGAGCUAGCCGUCGAAGGUGGGACAAAUGAUUGGGGUGAAGUCGUAACAAGGUAGCCGUAUCGGAAGGUGCGGCUGGAUCACCUCCUUU